UACGGGGGGGGCAAGCGUUGUUCGGAAUUACUGGGCGUAAAGGGCUCGUAGGCGGCCAACUAAGUCAGACGUGAAAUCCCUCGGCUUAACCGGGGAACUGCGUCUGAUACUGGUUGGCUUGAAUCCGGGAGAGGGAUGUGGAAUUCCAGGUGUAGCGGUGAAAUGCGUAGAUAUCUGGAGGAACACCGGUGGCGAAGGCGGCAUCCUGGACCGGUAUUGACGCUGAGGAGCGAAAGCGUGGGGAGCAAACCGG
rnacentral:rRNA from 1 species